GGGGAGUCAGCAGAGGUGCAUCAGCUGAUCAUGCUUCUGACAACAUCAUUGUGCCUGCAUUUGUGCUGUCCUCUGCAGUGGUGACUUUACUAUGAUGAUGAGGACGGCACUUAUGAUGCUGUGCACUAUCUUUGAAGAAGGAUUGGACUUCCAAAGAAAAUUCCUCUAGAGACCAGCUAGAAGAACAUUGAAGGAAAGAAAACAAAUUUUUCAUCCACAACAGUUGAUGCAGUCAGCAGGAUAAACUUCUAGAUAUUUACUCCAAAAAUCCUGCAGCUUUGAUAACCUGGAACAUCUGACAUACACUUGGCAGAAGAAAUCUUCCAUGUCAGUGAAACUCCAAAUAUCAGUGGAAUGGACAUUAGAGCUCAUGGUAGAAGCCUCUUAUUUAUGGAUAAGGAAACCAGACUAUUGAGAAGUAACUUGACCAUUGGAGAUGACCAUAACUGAAGAAAGGUGCUGGGAAUCCGGCUGGAGAGCAACAACCAUACAAAACCUCACAAUUUACAACCUCAGUGCUACCUAAGUGUUGAAAUGAGAAAUAGACUGCAUACUUCCAGGCCAAUGGGGAUAUUUCCAACAAUUUCCUCUUCUCAGUGAGUUCCCUAAGAGCUCAGUAUACUUCACUAUUAUGACAUUUACUGGGCUAUUAUUCUUGCCAGAAAGAAAACUGCAUUGUCCAGUUUUCCUUUACAUUGAAUGAUAAGGACUAGAGCCUCAGGGUAUUGACAGACUUAAAAAUGUUCAUCUUUAAUUGAUAAUUUAUGGGAUUUGGUGUCCCCAAAUGGGCCCCAAUUUUUUUUUAUUCUGGUAUCAUUGAUAUAUACUCUUAUGAAGGUUUCACAUGAAAAACAUUGUGGUUACUACAUUCAUCCAUAUUAUCAAGUCCCCUCCCAAACCCCAUUACAGUCACUGUCCAUCAGUGUAGCAAGAUGCCAGAGUCACUACUUGCCUUCUCUGUGCUACACUGUCUUCCCUAUGAUCGCCCCCACACCAUGUGUGCCAAUCAUAGUACCCCUCAAUCCCCUUUUCCCUCCCUCCUCACCCACCUUCCCCCACCCCUCCCCUUUGGUAACCACUAGUCCCUUCUUGGAGUCUGUGAGUCUGCUGCUGUUUUGUUCCUUCAGUUUUGCUUUGUUGUUACACUGCACAAAUGAAGAAAAUCAUUUGGUAUUUGUCUUUCUCCUCAAAUGGGCCCAAAUUUACAUUUUCAUGAGAGUUCACACGUGAUCAGAUUUUCUCUUCUGAUGGUCACAUUUGAUUUGGUUAGUAAUACUUACACUGUUAUGCACAGCUCCAGGAUAUUUAUGAGGAGACUAAUCCCCAAACACAUCUUUAUUUGUUGGGUAUAAUCAUUUCAAGUUGCGUAAGUAAAGAUGAAGAAAAUUGGUUUUGGAAUAAUGGAAUUUCUAAUAAAUGGGAAAUAAAGUCAGUUUCCAAGGAAGAUAUUGUAAGAUGCCCAAAUGUAAAGUGAUUAAAUUACAUUUCCAUGAAAAGUAACAAAACUACCCAUGAUAGUUUCUGUUGUCCACGUGACCCUUGGUGGGCAUGGUGAGAGCUGGAUACUGGGCCUGGCAGACAGCUAGCAGGGCGCAUAACCAGCAGCUUACCCUGACACCAGAAUCUCCUUUGGCAGUUCAUCACGAAUCAGCAUUAGAUGUCAAUGAAAACUUCCACAGAAAAUACUAUGUGUCCUAUCUAAAGAAAUGGUUGACAUCAUUUUUCUUUGUCUACUGAGCAUAUUUUUAAGCUAUGAAAAUAAUAAAAUAUGUAUUUUUUAUUUGUUGCAGGCUAAUUGAUUAAUGCACAAUGUUCCUUUAGCACUAAUGAGUCAUUUUGUUCUUCCUGGAUUAAAGUGGAGUGGUGUCCAGAGACCAACAAAACCUUGAGUUGGAUGCAUAGCAGGAACCUUUUGUAAGAGUAUCUGCCAGCAUUUGAACUGAUUAUGGCUGUGCAGGUACAACUACAUAGCUAUGAACAAAGAUAAUUACCAAGAACAUAGCAACCUAAAGACAUCUACAGCCAUUAUGUUUGGCAAAAUACUGUAUUGGCCUGUGUUGUAAUUAUAACCAUCAAAAUAUAAUUACACAGGAACAGGUUACUUUAAAAAAUAUUAAUAGUUGAGAGGUUGUUGUAUCUGAUACUUGUGGCUCCCCCUGCCUCCCAGCUGUUGGCCUUUGAUCUGCCCCAGCUACGGCGGUAACCAGCUUCAUGUGAGCACAACCCAUUGGCCUGUACCUCCACCUAUGCCGGGUACCUCUCACCUCCUGACUCUGGGCUUCCUUGCUGCAAUGAGACAUGACACGUAUGGGAUGAUGCCCACAUGUGAAUAACCCAGGGCAAUGAGGGGUAUCAGCCAUCAGAGGGGAGACUUUUUACCCAGUCCUGGAAACCAGGAGCCAGGUUCAUCUCCUUCCUUCUUCCCUCUGCACAAACUGCCCUAAGAGGCAGGAAUUCAUACAGCUUUAAGAAUGCCUUUGAGAGUGAGCAAUCAGUUGUUCCUGACACCAAGCAGUGACUAGUUAGAAAAGUGGUCAGGCUGGUAAUGCACCACCUUGUAUUUGAGUCCCCUCCUUCCCUAUCUCCUUCCUCUUUUCUAUCACAGAUGCUUCUCUGGCAUUGUAUUUCUUAAUAAAGUAUGAGAUUUUGCCUCAAUACUCUUUUUUCUAAGGAAUCUAGGAUAUGACAAGUCAGAGUGAUGACAGAAUCUAUCUCUGGAAGAAUUUCCUUUAUUGACAGUGUUAUUUAUGCAAUAAACUUUGUGAGAAUAAUAAAUAUCUCCUUCAUUCAUAGCUUAGCUACUUUGUUGGCUUUCCAUAAAACAUCCUGGCCAUGUGGCAAAUUGAUCUGAAAGAGACCUGAAACUCACUGAAUCAGGUGAGCCUCAAGCUCAGGGCAUAUCAGCUACUACUUGCUUUAGGAAAAGCCAGAGGAUCUAAGGCAUUGAGGUCCCAAAUUGCUUUUCCGUAGGUUUUGUGCCCCUGGGAUAAUGUUGGCAUUUUGUCUUUUCUCUUCUGGAUUCAAGAUAGUAAGCAUUGACCAUAUGUCAGCUAAGGGCCAACUUUCAGCUGAGAUUAGCUGGCAGCAGAGUACUAGAACUAAAAUCUACAGAAACACUGUAAGUCAAGAAUACACCGCACAUUUACAAUGAAGAUAUAUUACUUUUGAAAUCAAAAGAAAACACAUGCUAUUUUUUUUUAACACUAAAAUUAACUGACUAGACUAUAACUGGC